rnacentral:rRNA from 1 species
UACCCGCUGAACUUAAGCAUAUCAAUAAGCGGAGGAAAAGAAACCAACAGGGAUUACCUCAGUAACGGCGAGUGAAGCGGUAACAGCUCAAAUUUGAAAUCUGGCCUCACGGUCCGAGUUGUAAUUUGUAGAGGAUGCUUCGAGCAUGGUCUGGCCUAAGUUCCUUGGAACAGGACGUCAUAGAGGGUGAGAAUCCCGUAUGCGGCCAGGUGCCUACGCUCAUGUGAAGCUCCUUCGACGAGUCGAGUUGUUUGGGAAUGCAGCUCAAAAUGGGUGGUAAAUUUCAUCUAAAGCUAAAUAUUGGCCAGAGACCGAUAGCGCACAAGUAGAGUGAUCGAAAGAUGAAAAGCACUUUGGAAAGAGAGUUAAACAGUACGUGAAAUUGUUGAAAGGGAAGCGCUUGCAACCAGACUUGCGCGCGGCCGAUCAUCCGGUGUUCUCACCGGUGCACUCGGCCGUGCUCAGGCCAGCAUCGGUUUUGGCGGCUGGAUAAAGGCCCUAGGAAUGUGGCUCCUCUCGGGGAGUGUUAUAGCCUAGGGUGCAAUGCAGCCUGCCGGGACCGAGGACCGCGCUUCGGCUAGGAUGCUGGCGUAAUGGUUGUAAGCGGCCCGUCUUGAAACACGG